AGGUAUUGGAGCAAGUGACUUUCCUUGAGCAAAACAAAAUAAUUUCGUUAACUGACUGCGGGAGAUCAAUAAUUAUAACAUUACAAUAUCAGCCAUAGACCGUUAGUUAUUAAUUUAGCUUCAGCAACAUUUUCCUAAUUAAGAAACCUACGCAUUGCUGGUAAACAGAUUACCGGGACCCGUAUAUGAUCCCCAUCCAAGGUAUUCAUAUUGAUUCCAUAUUCUAAAUUACACCUUUAACAUAUAAUAAUAAUAAUAAUAAUA
rnacentral:misc_RNA from 1 species